CCUAACUCCCGAGCGGUCUGGGAGUCUCAGCUAAUCCCAGCAGCCUGCAAGGCCCCGCAAGGAAGUGAGCCCCCACCCCCACCCCGUCACCUGAGGAUCCAUCCCACAUCUUCCACUUUUGAGGACAGGAAAGAGAAAGCUGAGCUGAAGCAUAAAACCAGAGAAGCAGCAGCAACAGCAGCCAGAAGAGAGCCCGGGAGGAUUUGGAGCCACUUAGCAAAAUACUACCUAAAAGGCUCUCUUCCAAUAAGAAGAUAUCUUCCAUGAACAUGUCAGAAUCCUAUAUGUUCUUCCUCUGGAUGUGUUCUUUCUCAUAAGCCCCUCAGAAUUGUCCC
rnacentral:lncRNA from 1 species